UACGAGUGGUCCAAGCGUUAUCCGGAAUUAUUGGGCGUAAAGGAUGUGUAGGUGGUUGUAUUAGUCCGGCGUCUAACCUCUGUGCUCAACAUGGAGACAGCGUUGGAAGCGGUACGACUAGAGUAUGUUAGGGGUAAGCGGAACUAAUAGUGUAGGGGUGAAAUCCGUUGAUAUUAUUGGGAACACCAAAAGCGAAGGCAGCUUACUGGAACAUUACUGACACUGAAACAUGAAAGCGUGGGUAGCGAAUGGG
rnacentral:rRNA from 1 species